UCUCUGUCUCUCAAAUAAAUAAAAUCUUAAAAAAAGAAAACAAAACAAUGUCCUGCAGAAAGCAGCUCUCCAGCAUCACCUGGGAGCUUGCUGGAAAUGCAGAGUCUCAGGCCCCACCCCAGACUUUCAGAAUCUGCGUUUUAAUAAGAUCCCCGUAGACUGCCGUUUCCAAAGUGGGGAAACUGCACUAGAGUUCCCUUAGCUAUUACGUGGCAAUAAUAGUGCUAUUGGAAAGCCAGUGCGGCAACACGUAGAGCUCCUAGAAUCCUAGAACGUUCUGGAAUACUCACUGCCCAGGAAAGAGGCGAGAGGACUGUUCAGAAGGAAGGACAUGGGGUAGAGGUCGGCAUUUGCUUUGGAAACAUUCCCGUAGGAUUUACCACCGGCUGGUGAAAAGUCCGGUAAAUGCUCGGUGUUGGUCUGUGGUGGGUGCAGCUCCAAGGGGGAAAACCGUGGAAUAAGGCCAGGGCCUUGUCUCAGAGGGUCCAAGUCCUUUGACAGAGGGUAGGGCACAAGAUACUCCGUUUUCGCUAUUGACAUGCAAGUCGAGCCGAGGAGAGGGGAAAUUGUUCCAAGCAGAAACUUUCCCAAACCCAAGGUGCCAGCACUUUACCGUACCACAGUUUCUAGAGGUAUCAGUCGACCUUUCCACUGCUCACAUUAGAAAAGGGUAAGAGUCAUUUGAACCACAGUACGCUUACUGAGUAAACUGCACGUCCUUCAGACAAAUGCCCUAAUUUGAUAUCCUCAAUAUUCAAGUGUGCUUGUUUGUCUGCAGAUGACUAUAGUUGCUUUAAAUUUUCAGUCUGCUAAAGAGAAAGCAUUUUAAAAUCUAUUCUUGAAGCUAUUUAGGUGAUCGCACACGUCUUACUGUAUUGAUAAUGUCAUUUUUUCUGUAAAAAUAAAAAGACUCUUGCUUGUCCUAAUCAUUCAUACAUGUAACAGUUAACCAUCUCCCAGAUAACCCCAUUUAAAUCUCCCAAAAUGAUUAAGUCCCUGUAAAUAUUUUAAACAUAUUGACAAAUUUUAAUAAUUCUUUCCAGUACAUCAGACUCCCCACUGAGGCGAAUUCAAAUGGAGGCUGCAAAUUCUUGCUCAGCACAAAACAAUUGAAAUAUUAGAAAUGUAAAUCACGUUCUCUGGAGCAGUUCAAAGCUGUUUACUAACAGUUCUCUUCCACCUCCAAAAUGAAAAUAACACAUCUCAUCUCAAUUUCACAUUCCAGAUAAAAACCCCCAAGCGAAUAUAUGCCAGAUUCUCUUACGAGUUCAAGCUUCUUAAAUGAAUCCACAGGUUGUAUGUGUAUAAACCCGCUGAACACCCCCAAAAUCUUCAUACUGAGAGUUGGAUUUCCUUCAUCCAUGCACUUCUUUCUACAUAGCUGAUCUCAAGUCCCCCUGUCACUCAUUGCUGGGUUUUCGGGUCACAACUGUGACAUGCAUCAGCGGGGAGUCCGAACCAGGACCCAGAAUGAGGUGCUCACCCGCUUCCAGGCUCCACCCAAGGCACCAGGGAGCUCAUGGCAUGGACUCCAGAGUCCAGCAUUGUUUGCUUUGUCACCAGGGUCCCCGGGCCAAGGCCUCUCCUCUGGGGCUUUGUCUGCAGCCUGUCACCACACUCCCUUGCUGGUCAUCUUUUGUAUCUCACCGUGGGCUGCUUUUCAUCAUGAACCAUUCCAGUUUGCUCUAAAUGAUUGGGUACGUGGAGUUUUCUACCCUGACGAAGGGGGCAGUUGAUUGUUCUGCAUCAGUGGGAGGAACGCAUCGAGUCUCUUUCUUGCCCAGCUAGGGCAUGCAUUUCUUUUGUAUUUUCAUCUGCCUCUGCCCAUACCUUUGGAGGGAAUUUGCUGACAGCCUGAUGAAGGCCAAUCUGGAAAUACAGAUCCUCUUUCUUUGGCCUGUCAAGCCUUCAGUGAAAUCCUAUGACCAUUGCAAAUCCCAGGCCUGUCUCAGGAACCUCUGUGUCCUCUGUCCCUGAAUAAGGACCAGUGCCCGAAGGGUACAGUCAGUAGGGUGAGUGAGUUACCAGAACUGAGGACAGAUAAGAUUUCCUUAGGUUGUAAGGACAUCAGAGGCUUUGUCAGUUCUUUGGCCUGUGCCACGGGGGGGACUGUGGCAUGGAUGGUGUCCCAGGGUGGCGUGCAUGGUGGGGAGUGCCUCUGAGCUGCCCCAUCUAAACCCAGCCCGGGACUAGGGUCUGCCUUCCUGUCACUGAGGGAAGAAAUACAACCUCUCACGACAUCAGUGCCUUUCAAGGGAGACACAUGGGCUCAGGUGUGCCCUGCUACUUCCCAGCUGGGCACAUCACCUCCCUACAUGGUGUCACCAAUGCCACUUUCCGUCUGUGCUGGCACAUUGUAGGCAGUUAAUAGGGGACAGUAAGUAUUAAUACAGUUUCUUUUUUAAUUAGCUAUGCUUUGUUAAGCUAUUUUAAAUAUUCUUAAGGCAAAAAGGCCUGACUCUAGAAAAAUACUGGUAAGGGGAGUCCUCUUCCCAUCUUUGAGCUCUGUGGUGGGCUGAAUACUGGUCCCCACAGUCCACGCCCUAAUACCUGGAGCCUGCGAUUACUUUACCUGGCAGAUGGGACUUUGCAGAUGUAAUUAAGGAUCUGGAGAUGGGGAGAUGAUUCUGGAUGAUCUGGGUGGGCCUUCAUCAAGAGGUAGGCCAGAGUGUGAAAGUCAGAGAAGAAGUGAUGGAGAUAGAGGUUGGAGCGCAGUAGGCCGUCAGCCGAGGCAUGCGAACGGCCUGUAGAAGUUAGAGCAGGCAAGGGCCCGGAGCCUCCCCUAGAGGUUCCAGAAGAACGGCAGCCCUGCUGACUGACUGGCCUCCUGGCCUCCCGAACCACAGGCACACCUGGUUUCAUGUAGCACUUGGUAGGUCAUGUGUUUCUUACAAAUUGAAGGUUUGUGGCCACCCUGAGUGGAGCAAGUCUUGGUGCCAUUUUUCUAACAACAUUUGCUUGCUUUAUGUCUCUGUGCCAAUAAAGUAUUUUAAAAUUAAGGCCCAUGCAUUGUUUUCUUUUCUUUUUUUUUAAGAUAUAAUGUUAUCGCACAUGCAAUCAGCCGAGGUGUAGUACCAACACAACUUUUACCUGCAGUGGGGGACCAAGAAGUCCCUUUGGCUCGCUUUAUUUUUUUAUUGUUUUUAAAAGAUUUUGUUUAUUCAUUUGAGACACAGAGAUACAGAUAGAGCACGAGCAGGUGGAGAACAGAGGGAGAGGGAGAAGCAGGCUCCCUGCUGAGCCAGGAGCUCGAUGUGGGUCUCGAUCCCAGGACCCUGGGAUCAUGACCUGAGCUGAGGCAGACCAUCUGAGCCACCCAGGCGCCCCUGGCUUGCUUUACUGUGAUGUCUGCUCUGUUGCGGUGGUGGGGAUGGAAUCUGCAAUAGCUCCGAGCUAGAUGCCCGUAGAAGGUAAUAAAUCCUUGUUAUCUUCAGCUACGACGUGUGUGGUAAUUUAUUGUGUCAGCCGUAGGAGACUAAUACACGCUCCAUCAUCCAGGCCUCUGGGAAGUCUGGCUGCUUCCCUGAUGUCAGUGGCCCAGGUUAGAGGCCUGAGGCUCUGGAGAAACCACUCCAGCUUCAAAGGCCUGAGUUGGCAAUGUUGGUGCUUGGGAGGCCGCCAUGGCUGUCGGACCAGAGCCGCAGCCCCAGUCACGCUAGCCCACAGAGGAGGGAGAUGGAAGCUACAGCCGGAAACCCCAAAAGGGCCAGAAUGGCUGGGCCUGCAGGAAGUUGGGGAGCUGGUUAGCAGCAUGGGGCUGAGGGGUUGAGGGCUGCAGGCAGGACACAACCGAGGCCACUAAGCUGUUUGAGAAAAUCAGGAGCUGAGGUUUUAUUUCAUUUUCAGUUUCUGUGGGUCAGACCUAAUGGAGAUGUCCCCUUGUCCUUUCAGAAUUUUCUGACCCUCCCAGUCUGUACUCACUGCAAAAUUCUUUUUAGUUCCAAAUUUAGACCCGGUGGUGAAAGUAGCAUUUCAGGAAGAGAGGAAGGAGCCAUUCUCAUGACAAGGUGUCAUUUGUGGAUGAAGCUCGAUCGCUACUCGGUUAUGUGCUGAUAAGGACACUUGCAGUUAGUUGCCGGAGUCACAAAACGCAAGCUGCGCGGCUGAAGCCAGAGGCUGGUUUUACCGGCUUGGAUAACCGAAGUGUGCGGGCUCCUGCUGGCUGCCCAGAUGCCUGAGGCAGGGGCUCCCGUGACUCCAGCAGGACAUGGUUUCUCUGGAUUGACCCCAUUCUCACGUAGGCUCUCCCUCCCAGGGGGCGAAACGGCCAGGGCUCCAGGCUCACAACCUUGCAAUUUCGAGUUUAGCAAAGAGACUCGAGGAGAGAGCGACAUCCCCCAGAGGUGUGCAACAUGGUGGCCUCAGCCAGGGCCACGGGGUUGCUCACUGGCUGCGUCCGGCCUGUGUGUGCACCCUAGAGGGGAGGGUGCAGCCCCCCCCACCGGCCACCUGGACGUGCAGCGGAGGCGGCAGGGCCCUUUCUGGCAAGCGACCCACAAGACGCUGCCUCCCCACAAAACUCGCGUAAGGGGUGGGCUCUCCAGAAGCUGAUGCUGGCCAGCCAACAAACAGGACAUCCUCCACGACAGCGGGAAGGAACGGAGUCCCCGCGCAGGUCAGGGGCUGUGACUGGAGGCGAGGGCAAUUGGGGCUGGCACGACGGCCGGCACCGCGUCACAGGCCGCUGCCCUCACCGCCCUGCUCAUACGCAGCCAACUUCCACCUCCUGUUCUUGCAUCUCUGUGCCCGGGGACUUUCCUCCCAGAGCCACUGAAGGCCACCCUGCCCGAGGAUGAGCAGGCCACCAGAGGUAGCUUCUAGGAAGAAUGCGCGCCAGCUCCCUCCCCCCUCGGAUGGCAUUACUGGGAGGCUCGGGCUUGGCAAGGUUUCACAGCGUUAUCCCAACAGGAUUAAGCCCAGCUGCCCACAGAGCUCAGGGCACAGGCAGCCCCGGGAGGUGGCUUUGGGGAUACCCCACAUGAACACAGAGCCCAUUCGCAGGGACGUGCCCCAGAGUGACCCCCUGAGAGCCCCCAUCCAGACCCUUGAGAUGCAUCCUAGGGGAGUCCCGGGCCCCGUCCAAACACCGUCCUAGAACACGUGGACCUGCUGGUUGGAGAGUCUCCGCCUGAGGCACGUUGAGAAGGAAACACCAAGCGAGCAGGGAGGGGGCCACCUCCUCUCUCUGGGCCGCAGGCCCGUGUUUCCUCACGUGCAGCUGGCGGCUGGCAGCCGGGAAAACAAGGCGCCUCCGGUGGGCUCGCAGAGGAGUGGGGCAUCCUGGUGUCAGGCCCGUGGGCACUCAGAAAACUGUCCCUGGGCACCUGUGGGAGACUCGAGGCUUAGGAGCAAAAUUCCCCUCUUAAAAUUCAAGGCAAUGGGAAAACAGUUCUGUAUGCAAAACUUUUCACUGUAGGUUAUAUUUAGGACACUUAUAUCCACGAAGUGCCGCCCGGAGGAGGGCAGACGUUGGGUAGAGCAACUAACCCAGAGCCCAGUAAGCACCCCCCACCCUCCCCACCCACCACCUGAAAAUGCCGUUUGAGAAGGCGGGUCUUAAAACGAGCUGGGUGGAUGUUGCCCUCCAGCGGCCAAGCGCGUCCUUACAGCGUGUGGCGGGGGGAGAGCGGCAGGGAGCAAAACCAGAGCUCUCACCGCGACAUCCUGCCCUGCUUCCAUUUGCUCUGCUACCAACGUGUCUCAACCAGGGAAUUUCUGGGAUGGCGAGAGCCCUUGGCCUGUGCCACAGAGGGACAGCGGGAGCAGCCGGGCACGCUUAGCAGGAGAAAAACAAGGGCUAACAUUUGUUGAGCACUUCUUUGGUCCAAGUCUUAAGCCAUUUACGUGCAUUCAGUCUUCACACAGACUAUUAUUAUCCCUUUAAAAACCCUGAAACCAAGGCACAGAAAUCUUAAGUUAGUGAUGGGGAUUUGAACCCAGGUCCCUCUAAUCCCCAGAAGCAGAAACCGCGUUUCUUUCACCUUAUUAGUGGUUCUCAGACCCUGCUGAGCUCAAGAAUUGUUCUGGAAGUUUGUCAAGGAUGCAGAGUCCAGUCCAGGGCUCUGCCCCUGAGAACGUGAUGUAGUGGGUCUAAAAGGAGCAAAGACACCUGAGGAUCUGUCCUUAGGACAUUCCUGGUAGAACCCAGCAAGUAAUCCAAGCAGGUUCACGGGCCACACUUUAGGAAACACCUAAGUAAAAUCUCAUCAUUGCCAAGAGGGCGAUCUGGAUAUGGGAAAGAACUUCCUUUUUUUUGUUGUUUUUUUCGUUUUUUUGUUUAAGAUUUUAUUUACUUAUUUGAGAGAGAGAGAGAGAGAAUGAGCAGGGUGGAGGGGCAGAGGGAGAGGGAGCAGCAGACUCCCCACUGGGCAGGGAGCCCGCCAAGGGGCUUCAUCCCAGGACCCUGAGAUCAUAACCUGAGCUGAAGGCAGAUGCUCAAUGGACUGAGCCACCCAGGUGCCCCAAGAGAGAACUUUCUAGUCAUGUAUGCAGAUUCAAUUCAUGUCUGCAUGCCAAGCAUUUUGAUAGGUGCUCUCACGAACACAGUCUCAGCCCCCUCCCUGGUAACUCUGGGGGCUCCGUGUCCCCAGUGUGCAGAUGACGAUGCCUCUCAAGAGGAAACAACCCCCCCCACUUUUUUCUACUUGGAGGUUCCUUUCAGUCAGCAUUCCACUCUGUGUUUACAGUGGGUCUCCCGUGAUGCCCUCCAAAAUAGGCCACUGCUGCAUAGGGAUCAUCUUGAACUGAAGGCAACCGGGAAGCAGAUACAAGAAAGGCUCCCUGUUCUCCUCCUAUUUGCUGGAAAGCGGGACACACAAUCGUGAAAGCGUCCCCUUCUGCCCUUUCUACAGGGAAGACAGAAGUUGAUCACCAGAGAGAACUCUAUCCCCAUAUCAGCCCACGAUGGCACCGGAGGAGCCCACAUUACAAACCUUGCUAAAACUGGCCCUUUGUUAGCAUUCAUUUCCCCGUUUGCCUUCCCACAAUUUGCUGCCCUAGAAACUCAGUCUUUUUUCUUUGUCUUGCUGUUUCUCUAAAAAUGCAUUGUUCUUCUGUCGAGAUGCUGUAUAAGGCCAAGUUCUAACCACCCUUCUCAGUUAUUCAACUCAGCACUCCUGUGCGAAUGUGGGAGGAAUGUGUCAAAAAACUUCCGUUUUUCGCUUGUUGAUCUGUCCUUUAUUCGUCAAAACUCCACCCUUUGUCAUUAACUUACGUUUACCUCAUUUGGUACUUCAAAAUGAAGGAUAACUUGGUAUAUUAAAAAGUUAAUGAAGAUUAAAAAUUAUCUCAAUUUUCUUGGGGCGCCUGGGUGGCACAGCGGUUAAGCGUCUGCCUUCGGCUCAGGGCGUGAUCCCGGCGUUAUGGG